AGAGUUUGAUCCUGGCUCAGAACGAACGCUGGCGGCGUGGCUAAGACAUGCAAGUCGAACGAACCGGUCAAUUGGGUAACUGAGAGACCGGUUAGUGGCGAAAGGGUGAGGAAUAGAUAGGUAACGUACCCUGAACUUCGGGAUAGCGUCAUAUCCGCAAGGAUAUUUCCGAAAGGGGCAUUAAUACCGAAUAAUAUGGAGAGUCGAAUGACUUUUUAUCAAAGAUUCAUCGGUUUGGGAGCGGCCUAUCUCCUAUCAGCUAGUUGGUGAGGUAAUUGCUCACCAAGGCUAUGACGGGUAGCGGGACUGAGAGGUUGGCCCGCCACAUCGGAACUGAGACACUGUCCGGACCUCCACGGAGGGCUGCAGUAACGAAUAUUGGGCAAUGGGCGAAAGCCUGACCCAGCGACGCCGCGUGCGGGAGUAAGUCCCUCGGGAUGUAAACCGCUGUCAGGUAAAAGAAAGUCCGUAAGGAUUGAUCUAUUCCAAAGGAAGCCACGGCUAACUUCGUGCCAGCAGCCGCGGUAAGACGAAGGUGGCGAGCGUUGUUCGGAAUCACUGGGCUUAAAGCGCAUGUAGGCGGACUGGAAAGCGCCUUGUGAAAGCCCCCGGCUUAACCGGGGCAUUGCUUGGCGAACCGCCAGUCUUGAGGCAAGCAGGGGUGCAUGGAACUCUUGGUGGAGCGGUGGAAUGCGUAGAUAUCAAGAGGAACGCCAGCGGUGAAGACGGUGCACUGGGCUUGUUCUAACGCUGAGAUGCGAAAGCGUGGGGAGCAAACGGGAUUAGAUACCCCGGUAGUCCACGCCCUAAACGAUGCCUACUAGGUUGUGGGAGUUCUGACACUCUCGUAGCCGAAGCAAAAGUGUUAAGUAGGCCGCCUGGGGAGUACGGUCGCAAGGCUAAAACUCAAAGGAAUUGACGGGGGCUCACACAAGCGGUGGAGCAUGUGGAUCAAUUCGAAGCAACGCGCAGAACCUUACCUGGGUUCGACAUGGUUGGAUGGUUGCCUGGAAACAGGUUAAUCUGCCCGCAAGGGUGAAACUUCCACAGGUGCUGCAUGGCUGUCGUCAGCUCGUGUCGUGAGAUGUCGGGUUAAGUCCCUUAACGAGCGAAACCCUCGUCGUUAGUUACCAUCAGUUCAGCUGGGGACUCUAACGAGACUGCCGGUGUUAAACCGGAGGAAGGCGGGGAUGACGUCAAGUCCUCAUGGCCUUUAUGCCCAGGGCCUCACACGUGCUACAAUGGCGACUACAAAGCGACGCAAGGCCGCAAGGCGGAGCAAAUCGCAAAAAAAGUCGCCUCAGUUCAGAUUGCAGGCUGCAACUCGUCUGCAUGAAGUUGGAAUCGCUAGUAAUCGCGGAUCAUCUACGCCGCGGUGAAUGUGUUCCUGAGCCUUGUAC
rnacentral:rRNA from 1 species